rnacentral:rRNA from 1 species
CUCUCCCCUCUCUUCUCUUCCCUUUUUUUCCUUUCCCCCUCUCUUCUUCUUCUUUCUUUUCUUUCCUCUCUUUCUUCCUCUUUUUCUUCCCUUUUUUUCUCUUCCUUCUUUCCUUAUACCUCUUCUACUCUUAACUGAGCGGGCGUGGGAGACGGAUCGUUUACUUUGAAAAAAUCAGAGUGUUUCAAGCAGGCAGCUCGCUCUUGCAUGGAUUAGCAUGGGAUAAUUGAAUAGGACUCUGGUGCUAUUUUGUUGGUUUCGAACACCGGAGUAAUGAUUAACAGGGACAGUCAGGGGCACUCGUAUUCCGUCGAGAGAGGUGAAAUUCUCAGACCAAUGGAAGACGAACCACUGCGAAAGCAUUUGCCAGGGAUGUUUUCA